CAGAAGGCUGAUGGAAUUUGACCAUGGCGAAUAACAGGAUUACGGGUUUACACAUUCUUUUCAUAGUUUCGUUUGCUCGUGGAUUUUCCGGACCGCCACAGUUUGACAGCCCAUGGUUGCCGUUACGGGCCCAAGGUGAGGAACAAUCUCAAGUUGUUGUCUCUCACGGCUCGGAGAGGUUCCCCGCUUGGUGACAUUCAGGUGAAAGUGAUAGACGGAGCAACGGCGGCUUUGUUUUCAAGGCGAUAGGUAACGGCGAGCGAGAUGACGACGGCCCAACUCCCUAUGGCGGGGUCAUUAACAUAUACAACGAACAGGAGGUGGUAGUCAUGGCACCGCAAAGGAAAACCCACCCAUACAUGGGACACGCCGUAUACACUGG